AGGAUUCCCCUAGUAACUGCGAGUGAAGCGGGAAAAGCUCAAAUUUAAAAUCUGUCAGUCUUUGGCUGUCCGAGUUGUAAUCUAGAGAAGUGUUAUCCGCGCUGGACCGUGUACAAGUCUCCUGGAAUGGAGCGUCAUAGAGGGUGAGAAUCCCGUCUUUGACACGGACUGCCAGGGCUUUGUGAUAUGCUCUCAAAGAGUCGAGUUGUUUGGGAAUGCAGCUCAAAAUGGGUGGUAAAUUCCAUCUAAAGCUAAAUAUUGGCGAGAGACCGAUAGCGAACAAGUACCGUGAGGGAAAGAUGAAAAGAACUUUGGAAAGAGAGUUAAACAGUACGUGAAAUUGCUGAAAGGGAAACGCUUGAAGUCAGUCGCGUUGUCCAGGGAUCAGCCUUGCUUUUGCUUGGUGUACUUUCUGGUUGACGGGUCAGCAUCAAUUUUGACUGUUGGAAAAAGGUCAGGGGAAUGUGGCAUCUUCGGAUGUGUUAUAGCCCUUGGUUGCAUACAAUGGUUGGGAUUGAGGAACUCAGCACGCCGCAAGGCCGGGUAACUAUUACCACGUACGUGCUUAGGAUGCUGGCAUAAUGGCUUUAAUCGACCCGUCUUGAAACACGGACCAAGGAGUCUAACAUGCCUGCGAGUGUUUGGGUGGAAAACUCGAGCGCGUAAUGAAAGUGAAAGUUGAGAUCCCUGUCGUGGGGAGCAUCGACGCCCGGACCAGACCUUUUGUGACGGUUCCGCGGUAGAGCAUGUAUGUUGGGACCCGAAAGAUGGUGAACUAUGCCUGAAUAGGGUGAAGCCAGAGGAAACUCUGGUGGAGGCUCGUAGCGAUUCUGACGUGCAAAUCGAUCGUCAAAUUUGGGUAUAGGGGCGAAAGACUAAUCGAACCAUCUAGUAGCUGGUUCCUGGCGA
rnacentral:rRNA from 1 species